UACGGGGGGGGCAAGCGUUGUUCGGAAUUACUGGGCGUAAAGGGUUCGUAGGUGGCCUGCUAAGUCAGACGUGAAAUCCCUCGGCUCAACCGGGGAACUGCGUCUGAGACUGGCGGGCUUGAGUGCAGGAGAGGAACGCGGAAUUCCAGGUGUAGCGGUGAAAUGCGUAGAUAUCUGGAGGAACACCGGUGGCGAAGGCGGCGUUCUGGACUGCUACUGACACUGAGGAACGAAAGCCAGGGGAG
rnacentral:rRNA from 1 species